rnacentral:lncRNA from 1 species
UCCUGAAAUUACUUUGGUCAUCAUGACAAUAGCAACCCUGACAAAGACAGCAGAGUUCAGGAACAACCUGAGAUAUAUGAAAUCCUGCCUCAAAAAAAAAAAAUCACAUAAAUCCAGCUUGUUGCCUCUGGGCUUCAUGGCUCAUCACAGCACCCUGAUGUAUCAGAGGUGCUCAGGAUCCCCUGUCAAAGCUUGUCUGUCCUAAGCUCCCUUUCAAGUCAUGCAUGAGAAAGCCUCUGGGUAGACCUCCUAUCUUUCAGGCUCAGACGGGACAGUGUGAUAGGAGAAAGGUUCAGAAGAAAACGGGAGUAGUGGUUCACUCUUGUAAUGCCGGCACUUGAGAGGCUGAAACACAGUUGCUGUAAGUUCAAGACCAGCCUGGCUCUGUCAAAUGGUUUCAUCUGAGAACGAGAAAAGUGUUUUCAAGGCCAACAAACAGCAGCAACUGAAACCAUGAGAAGCCAAGACAAAACAGCUUCCACAGCCCUGCAAGAGAAAGUGUCAGCCUACCCAAGGAUAUCACCCCAAGCACGUUACACCCUGAGUCACUUCAGAAUCGAGGCCAGACACGAUUAUUCCCAGGAAAGAACAGAUGUUCACUCCAUGUAACAGACAAGAACGAAAGGGGACAUUGGGUCCCCAUUUAACUGAUAUGAUGACAGGAUCACCCUGAUCUCUUGGCUUCUUUUUUUUUUUUUUUUUUAGAUUACUUAUUUCUAUUUUAUGUAUAUCAGGGUUUUGCCUGAAUAAAUGAAUGUGCUCUGUGUGCAUGCUUGGUGCCCACAGAAGCCAAACGAGGAUGUCAAGUCCCCUGGCUCUUGAGUUACAGACACUUGUGAGCCACCUCGUGGGUGCUGGGAACUGAAACCAAGCCCUCUGAAGAGCAGCCAGUGUUCUUAACCACUGAGCCAUCUCUCCAGCCCCCUCUUCUAGAUUCUUAUCCUCACACCUGGAAAACAGUUGCUGAUACAGUGCCGUAUCCGACCUGAGGCCACAAAUGGCCCAGGAUAGUUAUAAGUGCUGUCUAAAGCAAAAUUAUUGAACUUGCUCAAAACUUUGUGCUAUUUUGUGAAUUUUUUUUUUUGCUUGCUUGCUUGUUUGUUUUUGUGACUCAGUUGCAGGUGGCAAUGUCAUGUUGCAGUGUCCCAAGACUGAGCACACCUGGUGCUGACAGUCACUUUCUGUACUUAGCCGUACAAGAUGUCCAAAAUUCCUUAUUGCUGUGUCUGCUCUAGCUCACUGGUGGUAAUGAGGUUGCCCUGCCCUGGGGGAUGGUGUCCCCUAUAAAACUCACAUGGAAUUUAAUCCCAGCAAUGCGGAAAGGCCUUUGGGAGGUGACCAGAGUGCCACCAUUGGGAAUUAGAUGUUCUUAGGGACGGCCCAGAGGGUGUGAGUCAGGUGUCCUUUCCCUCCUGCCUUCUGUCCCAUUAGGAAGCAUAAGGAAGGCUCUCGCCAGACACCAAAUGCUACACCUGACCUCUAAUUCCUUGCUUCCAGAAUGAGGAGAAGUAGAUGGCUAGUAUUUAUAAAUUACUCAGUCAUUGCUAUUUUGUCAUAGCAGGACAAGCAGACUGUGGCCGAGGCUUGUCAAUUUUCGGCUGUGCCCUGGAAAAGCUCUUUGUGAUUGAUGCAUACGGAUCAACCCUUUAGUCCCAAGGCACAGAGCAGGGAGAGUGAGCUGUCCUUAUAAGCGGUUGAGCUGGGACUUAAACUCAAGCAGUCUAGUUCCAAGUUGUAGGCACUACUGAAUGUUAGUGUCCCACUGUUCUAUCUGUAAAUGAGGCUAUGGGAGGAAUAAUUAGAUAUUAUUUCUCAGAGCUGGAGAGAUAGCCCAGUGGUUAAGGGCAUGGCUGCUCCUUGUAGAGAACCCAAGUUUUAUUGCCAGCAGCCAUGUUGGGUGGCUCUCAGCCACCCAUAACUCUAGCUCCAAAGGGAGUUGGUGGCUUCUUCUGGGCUCUGGGGUUUCUUGCAGACACACACAAUUUUGUU